ACGGAACUGUUCAGGACCUGACAAAGCAGCAGCUUUAAGAGUGGAGGAGCUCUCUUCGGCUGGGGAGAUCCUUACUCUCCAUGGCCACCAGAUGGCGAAGGCUGCCCGCGGCCCAGAAGAGAGAGGAGCCUGCAGACCCGCGCGGAAACUCUGCUGCGGGACCUGGAGGCCAAGGGUUUAAUUCGGAAAGAAGAGACUGCAGAGGAGAGGGAAGACCGUGAGUCUGCUUUCACCUAGGUUUAAAGCGAAUCAAAGACGGCUGUAAAAAGGGAAACCGGGACCAAAAACAGAUUUGGAGCCUCGAAACUCUCCAUUGAAGGUUUGGAAGAUACGUUGCUGCAGACUUGAAACCGGCUCCAAAUCCGGCCCAAACAUGGGCUGAAAAUAUGGCGCGCUAAUCUGCUGCUUCCCCUCCUCCUCAAGUUCUUUCUGACUCUUCCCACCUUUCCCAGUUUCCCUUCCAGACGUCUGCGGCUCCCCACUCCACCCCCAGGAUAGCUACUCUACAUCCCGACAAUUCCCAGCUUCUACACCCAGGAGGAGGAAUUCUGGAACCACCCAGAGCGAACUCGUGCCGGGGCGGGGUGGGGACCGGAGGAAGGUCCUGCUCCGAAUUCUCUCCAGAGCAGAAAAGAAUUCUAGAGGCUACAUGUGGGCUGCUUUCCCCCCUUCUUCCUUUUUUCCCUCGCAAACCAACAACCAAAAAGUGUUUGGUGAUGGAAAGAACACCAGUGGAAAACGGCAAAUAACAGUAUUUCCAACUCCGAGUCAGGUCCUCUUUGCACUGCUUUUUCCUGUUUCAUUGCAAUUUAUUGAUUUUAUUGUGGUUUUUUGUUUAUUUGGGGCAAGAACGGAGAUGUGAACCAGGACGAGCCAGCAGACCCCCGAGCCAGUAUCUCCUCCCUGGGCAGGGAACACCGCCUGCACCGGUGCAUACUAGGAGACCCUGGCGGAGAAUGUAAACAAACCGGGCGCCGAGCCCUUGAUCUUUAUUUAAAUAGAGGCUUGUUUAUCGGUGUCAUCCUAGGAGGAUUAAUUAGAUACAUCUCUUCACAAUUUGGUGUCUGACACUCCAUCUUAGGAAUGCCUUAUCAUAAGGUGUUAAUUGGGGCCACUCAGCCACUUACGUUUCUAUUAAACACUGUG
rnacentral:lncRNA from 1 species